rnacentral:other from 1 species
CAUCGGAAAGGAUGCUGUGAUUCAUGGAAUGAAUCAGGACACAUCUGGAUGAUGACGCAGGGAUAGUCUUCAGGACGAAGAACAGGAACAUCUCAGGACGAGAUAAGGGACACCUCCAGGAUGGAGAAUGAGAGCUAUCAGUAUAGAUAGUGAGGCAGGAUGCUCAGGGAAUAUCACCAUUGAUGGUGAGUUGUAGGAAACAUUUAAGGACAAAGUUAUCAAGGACGAGCAGGGAGCAUUAAUGUAGCGGGAUGGUUGCGAACGAAUCGGGAGCACUGUUAUUACAGUGCUCCCUUUUUUUCGU